rnacentral:lncRNA from 1 species
UCCUUUUUCCUCUCACGUGAAACUCUCUCUUUUUCUCUACAUCACCAAAUAUUUUCUCUUAAGUGUUAGAAAGAACAAAGAGAGAUUUAAGAUAUAUUGAGUGAGAUUUUGAUCAAAGUUCCAAGACAGAAAGUGUAGAUCACAACUUGGUGAAGCUUCUGGUAUGAGCAAAGUGGUAAGAAAAAUCUCCCUCCCUGUUUUAUCCCUCUUGGCCGUGAGGCCCUAUUUUCCUAGAGUAGUGAGACUAUCUCUUUUCCUUUAUUAAUAGUAUAUAGUUAAUGGUAGAUCCAAAAGAAAAAUUGUGAUUGGAGUUGUUUGAUUUUAUGCUCAAAAAUAUUUUGUUAAGUUUUAAUUUUCUUGCUCAUUUCCUUUGAGAAUAUUGUUGUGAGUUUAUGUGAUUAUAUAUUCAAAAGAAAAUUUUGAUUUUGAGCACUUUGAAAUUUUAGAGAUAUUGUGAAAAAUGUCGAAAUGUCAUUUUUAUUUGAUGAACAUUUUUAUAUUGAGUAGAUCUAUCAAUGUAUCAGUUUAGUUUUUUUUUUUCGAAAAAUGAGUUUUGGUGUGAUUUCCAAUUCUGGCCGAAAUUUAAAAGGGUGUUUAGGUCAUUUUAAAAUUGAUAACUUGUCCUAAAAAGUAAGCCAUUAGAUCCUCCUUUUUGAAACGAUGAAAUGGACAUAUGGUUUGCAAUGAUCGGAUAAGGAAUGACUGAUUUACGGUCAUUUUAAAUCGUAAUUGUUUUACCGUUGUUUGAACUUGAAGUAUAGCAGUAGUAGAAAAAAAUAGAGAUUAUUUUUCUAUGAAAAAGGGAAAUGUUUCGAAAAUCAAUUGGUGAAUUGAAAUGAAAAUUCUUUUAUCGAGAAUUGUGUUUUAAAAGGCUUAAACAUUUGUGAACUUGUUUUAUUUUGAAGAAAAGUGUAGAACUUGGUUGAAAAGAUAUUGUUUUUGAAAAAGUUUUAAAAUAGUGGAGUUUUAUUUAAUGACGUUUUUGUGAUGCAAACUAUUUUAUUAAAGUUUUAAUGUUUUCAAAUAGUUGUUUUGAAAACCAUUUGAGCCUAGUUAGUUGUGAGGAAACAACCGUAGGUCUUGAUCCAUUAUUAGCCAAGCUAGGGCUUAAUUGAGUGACCAAUUAGAAUGUGGUAUUAACUUAAUUAACUUGAAUGAUUAAGGGUUAAGAGGAUUAGCCGGAUUUGGGACUUUUUCGAGAGAGACAGAUUUGCUCGCAUAGCGUAAGUUGAUUGUGUUGGAAGCUUGCUGAGGUAAGGGCACCUUCAUUUCUUUACUUUACCGGUUAAUGGCAUGCUUGGAUGCUUUGUUUGUGAUGUGUUUUUUAGUGCUUGGCAUGUAUAUGUUAUGUAUUAUAGGGAUGAGAACUUGUUUAAAAUACAUGCGUAUGUUUUACAUAUGAUUUGCGAAUAUAUGUAUUAACACGGAUCGUGAUUACAUAUGUGUAUGUAUGUGUAUUUUUGCAUGAGCAUGUAUGGAACGUGUAUUUCAGAUGGAGACUACAUGGGUGUUUGUCUGUGUGACUUCACCGGGGAUUUUUCUGUGUGACUUCCCUAUAUACGCUAAAAU